CACGAACGCUGGCGGCAGGCUUAACACAUGCAAGUCGAGCGCCCCGCAAGGGGAGCGGCAGACGGGUGAGUAACGCGUGGGAAUCUACCCAUCUCUACGGAAUAACGCAUGGAAACGUGUGCUAAUACCGUAUACGUCCUUCGGGAGAAAGAUUUAUCGGAGAUGGAUGAGCCCGCGUUGGAUUAGCUAGUUGGUGGGGUAAAGGCCUACCAAGGCGACGAUCCAUAGCUGGUCUGAGAGGAUGAUCAGCCACACUGGGACUGAGACACGGCCCAGACGCCUACGGGAGGCAGCAGUGGGGAAUAUUGGACAAUGGGCGCAAGCCUGAUCCAGCCAUGCCGCGUGAGUGAUGAAGGCCCUAGGGUUGUAAAGCUCUUUCACCGGUGAAGAUAAUGACGGUAACCGGAGAAGAAGCCCCGGCUAACUUCGUGCCAGCCGCCGCGAUAACAC
rnacentral:rRNA from 1 species